rnacentral:rRNA from 1 species
CCUACGGGUGGCAGCAGUGGGGGAUAUUGCACAAUGGGGGAAACCCUGAUGCAGCGACGCCGCGUGUGGGAAGACGGUCCUCUGGAUUGUAAACCACUGUCCCCAGGGACGAAGAUGACGGUACCUGGGGAGGAAGCUCCGUCUAACUACGUGUCAGCAGCCGCGGUAAUACGUAGGGAGCGAGCGUUGUCCGGAAUUACUGGGUGUAAGGGGAGCGUAGGCGGGACUGCAAGUUGGGUGUCAAAUCUACCGGCUCAACCGGUAGCCGCACUCAAAACUGCAGUUCUUGAGUGAAGUAGAGGCAGGCGGAAUUCCUAGUGUAGCGGUGAAAUGCGUAGAUAUUAGGAGGAACACCAGUGGCGAAGGCGGCCUGCUGGGCUUUUACUGACGCUGAGGCUCGAAAGUGUGGGGAGCAAACAGGAUUAGAUACCCCUGUAGUC